CUCUUAUCAAGAGUGGCGGAGGGACUGGCCCGACGAUGCCCGGCAACCAUUAAGCAACAGCUUAAAAGGUGCUAAUUCCUGCAGGAUGUGAAUCCUGGUAGAUAAGAG
rnacentral:ncRNA from 2 species